GACGAACGCUGGCGGCGUGCUUAACACAUGCAAGUCGAACGGAAAGGCCCUGCUUUUGUCGGGGUCUCGCGUUGCGAAAGGGUGGGUAACAAGGGAGUAACCUUCCCUCUAAUUUGGGAUAACUUCAGGAAACUGGGGCUAAUAACGGAGAGUAGCUCCUGCGGCGCGGUGUGUGUUGGAGAGUGUCUGCGGUUGGGGGUGGACUCGCGGGUUAUCAGCUUGUUGGCGGGGUAGUGGCUUACCAAGGCAUUGACGGGUAGCCGGCCUGAGAGGGGGACCGGCCACAUUGGGACUGCGAUACGGGCCAGACGUCGACGGGAGGCAGCAGUGGGGAAUAUUGCACAAUGGGCGGAAGCCUGAUGCAGCAACGCCGCGUGCGGGAUGACGGCCUUCGGGUUGUAAACCGCUUUCGCCUGUGACGAAGCGUGAGUGACGGUGAUGGGUAAAGAAGCACCGGCUAACUACGUG
rnacentral:rRNA from 1 species